rnacentral:rRNA from 1 species
UACAGAGGUCCCAAGCGUUGUUCGGAUUCACUGGGCGUAAAGGGUGCGUAGGCGGUCGGGUAAGUCUGUCGUGAAAUCUCCGAGCCCAACUCGGAAACUGCGUCGGAUACUAUUCGGCUAGAGGAAUGGAGGGGAGACUGGAAUUCUCGGUGUAGCAGUGAAAUGCGUAGAUAUCGAGAGGAGCACCAGUGGCGAAGGCGAGUCUCUGGACAUUUCCUGACGCUGAGGCACGAAAGCCAGGGGAGCAAACGGG